rnacentral:rRNA from 1 species
UACGUAGGGUGCAAGCGUUGUCCGGAAUUAUUGGGCGUAAAGAGCGUGUAGGCGGCCCGAUUAGUCCGCUGUGAAAGUCCAGGGCUCAACCCUGGAAUGCCGGUGGAUACUGUCGGGCUAGAGUCCGGAAGGGGCGAGUGGAAUUCCUGGUGUAGCGGUGAAAUGCGCAGAUAUCAGGAGGAACACCAAUGGCGAAGGCAGCUCGCUGGGACGUGACUGACGCUGAGACGCGAAGCGUGGGGAGCAAACAGG